rnacentral:rRNA from 1 species
GACAGCAGCAGCCACGGUAAUACAGAGGGUGCGAGCGUUAAUCGGAUUUACUGGGCGUAAAGCGUGCGUAGGCGGCUUCUUAAGUCGGAUGUGAAAUCCCUGAGCUUAACUUAGGAAUUGCAUUCGAUACUGGGAAGCUAGAGUAUGGGAGAGGAUGGUAGAAUUCCAGGUGUAGCGGUGAAAUGCGUAGAGAUCUGGAGGAAUACCGAUGGCGAAGGCAGCCAUCUGGCCUAAUACUGACGCUGAGGUACGAAAGCAUGGGGAGCAAACAGGAUUAGAUACCCCGGUAGUCCCUGUCUCUUAUAC